rnacentral:lncRNA from 1 species
GUGUCCCUGUCCUCAUGUGUCCAUCUGUCCCCGUGUCCGUGUUUCCCUGUGUCCAUCUGUCCCCAUGUCCGUGUGUUGAAGUCCGCAGGUGUCCGUGCCUUGCAGCACGCUGUCUGUGUGUCCCUGUGUCUGUCUGUCCCCGUAUCUGUGUCCCCAUGUCUGUGUCCAUGUGUCCCUGCCCUCGUCCGUGUGUCCCCGUGUCUGUGUCCCCAUGUCCGUGUGUCCCUGUCCUCUUGUGUCCAUCUGUCCCUGUGUCUGUGUGUCCAUGUGUCCCUGUGUCCAUGUGUCUGUCUCCAUGUGUCCGUGAGUCCCCAUGUCCCCAUGUCCAUCUGUCCCUGUAUCUGUGUCCCCAUGUCCGUGCCUCCCUGUGUCCGUCUGUCCCCACAUCUGUAUCCCCAUGUCCUCGUGUCCCU